rnacentral:lncRNA from 1 species
UUGAUAUAAGCUAACAAAAAUAAACCCCAGGAAGGGGGAAGGAAAACAAAAAAGAAAACUAGUCUAAUAAUAAUGAUUAUAAUAGUAAUUUAAGCAGAAUGUGGGCAGAAUGGAGAAACUUGAGUAGGAAUCAAAUGAAGUGGAGCAAGGAGAAUAAAGGGUAAGGGAGACAGUGGAGCAGAAAUGGGGAUUAGGGUGAGAUCUGGGGAAUGGAGACUGGAGUGGAGUGGGCUUACCAAAUAAGCUUCUUCAACUGGUAAAAUAUUAGUUAAGUUGAUUAAAAAACGAAGAGAGGGGACAAUAGAAAGAAACCAUUUUUAAAUAAUAGUUAAGAAAAGAAGAGUAAGCAGCAGCAUUCCCAGCAGCAGCAAGGAGAAUGGCGAGAUUGUGGUUGUGAUCUUUGUUUCUACACCCACCCACCCACCCACUAUCUAGAGAUCUCAGACCUCUCCCUUCUCUACCGCUCUCUCUUUCUUUUCCUCUUGUCUGCAAUAAUGUUUCUUUUUCGUUAACAAAGACAAAUAAGAAAAGGAAAGAAGGAAAUAAAGGAAGGUUAAUAUUGAAUUGAAUGGAAUGGUGGCCUGCUGGUCUGCUGUUCUGGUUCUGUCUGGGGUUACCUACCUUUCGCUUUAGCUCGCUCUCUCUUCUUCCUCUUUUCCUUUUCUCGUCAACUUUUCUUUUUGACAGUAAUUGGUCUCUCUCAGGUAGUAGUAUAGUCAAGCUACAACUUCUGAUGAACCAACAAGAGUGCAGAUGAUGGCCCACAAGGUGGCCUCCACCCUUCUCUUGUUUUUGCUUUUUUCUGAACCUUGCCUGACUGAUAGACCGAC